UACGUAGGGGGCAAGCGUUGUCCGGAAUCAUUGGGCGUAAAGGGCGCGUAGGCGGUUUUGUAAGUCUUGUGUGAAAUCUUCAGGCUCAACUUGAAGACUGCACGAGAAACUGCAGGGCUUGAGUGUGGGAGAGGUGAGUGGAAUUCCUGGUGUAGCGGUGAAAUGCGUAGAUAUCAGGAGGAACACCUGUGGCGAAAGCGGCUCACUGGACCACAACUGACGCUGAUGCACGAAAGCUAGGGGAGCAAACAGG
rnacentral:rRNA from 1 species